UAAGUCAAGAUAUUGAGUCUCUUAGUACUUAAGCCAGGAUGAUUCAUGAGAAAGCCCUGACAUGUUUCCCAUGAACUGCUUCAUGAAGGUUAUAAAAAGUCUAAACGGAAUAAAUCAGUGAUAAUAAACUUUAAACUGGUGUAUGUUUGUGUAACGUAGUCUUAUGAAAGCCACUUAAUGGACAGAAGUGUGAACACUUUAUUCUAGUCAGAAAUGUACCAUUUUCCAUCUCUAUGGCUCUAUGUAAAAUGAAUGUAAUACAUAUUAUUUAAAGUGUUUAAUAUAAAUAAAAGGUGAUAAAUAUUAUAAACAAAACGGGAUCUAAUUUUUAUCUUGUGUUUUUUCUGAUUGGCCGUGUUGUAUGUCGUCAUCUCAGCGCGUUUCAUAGCGAUUGGUGAACAACUCAUCUUAAGUGGCAAAGCAGCCAAUCAAUGAUAAGCGCGUUGUAAGACUGAUGAGAAAUGCUACAGUAACCCAUACGUAACAUAUUUUCAUAACAGCAGCUGGUGAAACUACUACAGGAAGAGACAGGGCGCUUCCGGAACAACUACAUAACAUUCAUAGCCUGUGUUUGAAGGCAAAUUUAUUGGUACGAAACUGUACGAUCUGUAGCCUACACGAUGGUAUGACUUCUGAUAAAAGCCAGCGUCUAUGUGGUGCGCAAGAUCCGCGCUGCCCUUACAGAGGGAGCGCAAGCAGAACAACCUGUGCUCACACCAUGUAGUCUGGCUAAAGGUAAAAAGGAGCGCUAUGCAUCAGACGCAGCAUUAAUGCCCGCUCCAGAGCCUGAGGGUGCUGCUGGGUCAUCUGCCUCUACAGAGACAGCUGUGCAGAAAUGUGGUUCCUGAGGUUAAAGGUCACGCAGAAGCAAAUCUGGGCACAAUGGAGGCUGAAAAAACAGCAUUGCUGGACACCAGCAUGUGUUGUCUUUGGAUGCUAGUGUUAUAACAAGGCCAUCUAAGCUGGUCUUUUAAGUAGAGGUUUCAAAAGCGGAAGGCAGAUUGUAGUAAACAUCUGACAUCAGUCCAGUUUUGCUCUGCGAGACCUUUUGUUCUUGGGUGCCAACACUUGCUCCUCCUCUCUCUUUCUUUGUCUCUUUCUCCUUUUCUGUUUCCCAUCAGCUGUAGUUUGUGAAGGUCUGUUCAUCAACCUCUUCCUCAGGGGUGGUUCAGAUGUGAUGUUUACCUGCAGCUUUUGUAUUUAUACUCAUCAACUAACUGACUCUACACUGACUGAAGAAAUAUCGCCGUCAGUAACAAUAACAGCUGACGCUCUUUAUGAGAUUAUGUAAUUAUUGUAAUGAU
ensembl:lncRNA